ACAACCACAACACCACCAACCACAACACCACCACCAACAACAACAACAACAACAACAACUCCAGCAGAAACCACCACUACAUUCUCUUUGACCGUUUCAGUAGCCAAUUUUGACUCUCGACUCGAUGAUGAAACAUCCGAGUUGUACAAAGAAUAUAAACGAGACAUUGAAGAGGCAAUAAACAUCUACUUCAAAGUCGAUACAGCACGUGUGACUGAUUUCAGGUCUGGUAGUGUGAUUGCAGAUUGCUCUGUUGUGUCAAAUAUCAAACUUGAGAAUGUAAGGGAUGGCAUCAUAAACAACCUCAGG